rnacentral:ncRNA from 1 species
UAAUGCUAGGGGUGCCCUGUGCUGAGAAAUACCCUUUAAACCUGAUCUAGUUAGUACUAGCGAAGGGAAGCAGUUUAA